rnacentral:misc_RNA from 1 species
GCAGGAGAAGAAUUACAUGAGGUAAAACCUAAAGCACUUGCUAAGAAGAUAGCAUCUCUGGCUCUGCAAUUUAUUUCUUUUUUGUUUCUUUGCUCUUUAUUUUGCUCACUCUCCUUGUGGCGCUCUUUCUUGAUAAUCUGUACUAAGAACAUGAAAAUAGAAUCGAAACAAUCUGAUUCAUCAUAUUAUGAUGAGCUGCCAAAUUCGGAUAUUGCAUCGAGUAAUUCUGACCUCGUUUAGGCAUUAGUUGCUUUGUGCUGUUUUCCGCAUUGAUAUGGUUCUCGAAGACUUGAGCCGAUUCCCAGGGUUUUUAAGUCAUCAUUGUGAUUUUGCUACAGUCAUUGAUAAGCUAUCAAAUUGUAGAGAAACCUCAUUAUACCUGUGGCUUGAAUGGCUUAUUUGUACGACUUCCAACUGAGCAUUCUGAGAGUCGGGUUGCUAUCCAGUUUUCUAGCCAGCUACAAACGAUAUUGGGUUCUGUAUCAUCAGUUCUGGUCUGUUUUCUCUUUGAAUAGAUUCUUAGGUGGUGUUAAUUAAGCACUUUAACACAAAUUCCUAUUCUAAUUCCAUUCCAGGAAGGAUUUAAUCAUACCUGUUGUGCAAAAGCAUAAGCCAGUGCUCUCUCGCGUCUGUUUGUUACUUCCAACUGGUUCUGAAUCCGCUUUUUGGUUAUAUUGCCGCUCAUUGUGCUAUUAUCCCAAUCUUCCUGUAAUAGCUCAAACAUCGUAAAUGACAUAUCUAUUUAUGUAGGUAUUAGUUAAUGGAGGAAGAC